GAUGAACGCUAGCGGCAGGCCUAGUACAUGCAAGUCGGACGGGAUUGAGAAGCUUGCUUUUCAUGAGAGUGGCGCACGGGUGCGUAACACGUAUGUAACCUACCUUAAUCAGGGGGAUAGCCUCUCGAAAGAGAGAUUAACACCGCAUAAAAUCAAUUUAUGGCAUCAUAGAAUGAUCAAAUAUUUAUAGGAUUAAGAUGGGCAUGCGGAACAUUAGCUAGUUGGUAAGGUAACGUCUUACCAAGGCUACGAUGUUUAGGGGAUCUGAGGGGAUGAACCCCCACACUGGGACAGAGACACGGACCAGACUCCGACGGGAGGCAGCAGUAAGGAAUAAUGGUCAAUGGGCGCAAGCCUGAACCAGCCAUGCCGCAUGCAGGAAGACAGCCCUACGGGUUGUAAACUGCUUUUGUACCGGAAUAAACCUUUGUAUGUAUACGAAGCUGAAUGUACGGUAAGAAUAAGGAUCGGCUAACUCCGUGCCAGCCGCCGCAGUAA
rnacentral:rRNA from 1 species